rnacentral:rRNA from 1 species
CCUACGGGCGGCAGCAGUGGGGGAUCUUGCACAAUGGGGGAAACCCUGAUGCAGCGACGCCGCGUGUGGGCAGACGGUCUUCUUGAUUGUAAACCACUGUCCCCAGGGACGAAAAUGACGGUACCUGGGGAGGAAGCUCCGGCUAACUACGGGCCAGCAGCCGCGGUAAUACGUAGGGAGCAAGCGUUGUCCGGAAUUACUGGGUGUAAAGGGGGCGUAGGCGGGGAUGCAAGUUGGGUGUCAAAACUACCGGCUCAACCGAUAGUCACACUCAAAACUGCAACUCUUGAGUGAAGUAGAGGCAGGCGGAAUUCCUAGUGUAGCGGUGAAAUGCGUAGAUAGUAGGAGGAACACCAGUGGCGAAGGCGGCCUGCUGGGCUUUUACUGACGCUGAGGCUCGAAAGUGUGGGGAGCAAACAGGAUUAGAUACCCUGGUAGUC